rnacentral:tRNA from 1 species
GCACCUGUACCCCAAUUGGCAGAGGGCUACGCUUGAGGGGCGUAGAGUUGGAAGUUCGAGUCUUCUCAGGUGCA